AAUGAACGUUGGUGGCGUGGAUUAGGCAUGCAAGUCGUGCGCGAAGGAGGCUUCGGCCUCUGGAGAGCGGCGAACGGGGUAGUAAGGCGUCGGAACGUGCCCAGGGGUUCGGGAUAGCGGCGGGAAACUGCCGGUAAUACCGGAUGACCUCUUCGGAGCAAAGGUGUGACUCCGCCCUUGGAGCGGCCGACGUGGUACCAGCUAGUUGGUGAGGUAACGGCUCACCAAGGCUCAGACGCCUAGGGGGUGUGAGAGCAUGGCCCCCACCACUGGGACUGAGACACUGCCCAGACACCUACGGGUGGCUGCAGUCGAGAAUCUUCGGCAAUGGGCGCAAGCCUGACCGAGCGACGCCACGUGCGGGAUGACGGCCCUCGGGUUGUAAACCGCUGUCGGGGGGGAUGAAGUCACGGGAAGCAAUCUUCCCGUGUUGACAGAGCCCCGGAGGAAGCGCGGGCUAAGUACGUGCCAGCCGCCGCCGUAA
rnacentral:rRNA from 1 species